CAGGGGAUCAAGCUUGAAGAGCAAAGGCCAGGACCCCAGAAGAAUAAGGAUGACUAUAUCCCGUACCCCAGCAUUGAUGAGGUUGUGGAGAAGGGAGGCCCAUACCCUCUGGUCAUCCUUCCCCAGUUUGGGGGCUAUUGGAUCGAGGACCCAGAGAACGUGGGCACCCCGACAUCACUGGGCAGCAGUAUCUGUGAGGAGGAGGAAGAGGACAGCCUCAGCCCCAACACAUUUGGCUACAAGCUCGAGUGCAAGGCCGAAGCAAGGGCCUACCGCAGGCACUUCUUAGGGAAGGAUCAUCUAAACUUUUACUGUACUGGCAGCAGCCUGGGGAACUUGAUCCUGUCCAUCAAGUGUGAGGAAGCAGAGGGGAUUGAGUACCUUCGGAUCAUUCUCAGGU